GAUGAACGCUAGCGGGAGGCUUAACACAUGCAAGUCGAGGGGCAGCACGAGGUAGCAAUACUUUGGUGGCGACCGGCAGACGGGUGAGUAACGCGUAUGUAACCUACCCUGUACAGGGGGAUAACCCGGAGAAAUUCGGACUAAUAUCCCAUGGAAAUAUCGGAAGGCAUCUUUUGAUAUUUAAAGUUCCGGCGGUACGGGAUGGGCAUGCGUAACAUUAGCUAGUUGGUAAGGUAACGGCUUACCAAGGCUUUGAUAGUUUAGGGGGUCCUGAGAGGGUGGUCCCCCACACUGGUACUGAGACACGGACCAGACUCCUACGGGUGGCUG
rnacentral:rRNA from 1 species